UGUAGCCUGCGUGCAGUCCCAGACUCCAAAGGAAGUAGUUCCUUUGGAGUCUGGGACUGCACGCAGGCUAC